rnacentral:lncRNA from 1 species
UACUGUACUCUUAAGAAUAUAAAAUUCUUCAUACUCGUAAGUUAUUUUCAAUUAUAGAACUUCCAAUUAAUAAAUUCAUAUCAUUAAAUAUAAUUUAGAGUAUUUAAAAUUUUUAAAAAAUAAAUUUCAUAAUUUUUUAAUAUUAUAAUAAAGUCUAUCAAACGGGCAUAAAAUAAACAGUUAAAUUCGAACGAUUUUUUAAAAAUAGAGAAUCGGAGUUAUUUAUCUUUAUUUCAAUAGUAAAUAGAAUUUUGUUUCAAAAAUACAACUAGUUAUAAUUCUUUUACACCGUUAAACUAGCAAAUAUUCUAUACCAAUCUUUAAAAAUUAUCAAUUUUGAGAUCUUUUGAUGUAUGAUAAAUAAUAUCAAAAAAUUAUGAAAUUUAAUUUCUAAAGUUUUAAAUGUUGUAGAUAAUGUUAAAUGGCAUGGAACAUUAAUUCGAAAAUUUUAUCAUCGAAAAUGAGUGUGAAAGCAUUACUCAUAAGAAUAUAGUAGCCUAACUCAUAUAUAUAUAUAUAUAUA